GACGAACCGUGCGAACGUUGUUCGGAAUCACUGGGCUUAAAGGGCGCGUAGGCGGGCGCAUUAGUCUGGGGUGAAAUCCCGCGGCUCAACCGUGGAACUGCCUCAGAUACUGACGGUCUCGAGGGAGGUAGGGGCGAGCGGAACUGUGAGUGGAGCGGUGAAAUGCGUUGAUAUUCACAGGAACUCCGGUGGCGAAGGCGGCUCGCUGGACCUCUUCUGACGCUGAGGCGCGAAAGCCAGGGGAGCAAACGGG
rnacentral:rRNA from 1 species